GACGUAGGGCGCGAGCGUUGUCCGGAUUUAUUGGGCGUAAAGAGCUCGUAGGCGGCUUGUCGCGUCGACUGUGAAAACCCGCGGCUCAACUGCGGGCUUGCAGUCGAUACGGGCAGGCGUAGAGUUCGGUAGGGGAGACUGGAAUUCCUGGGUGUAGCGGUGAAAUGCGCAGAUAUCAGGAGGAACACCGGUGGCGAAGGCGGAUCUCUGGGCCUUACCCUGACGCUCGAGGCGCGAAAAGCUAGGGGAGCGAACAGG
rnacentral:rRNA from 1 species